rnacentral:rRNA from 1 species
CCUUAGAGUUUGAUCCUGGCUCAGGAUGAACGCUAGCGGCAGGCCUAACACAUGCAAGUCGAGGGGGCAUCACGAGGUAGCAAUACUUUGGUGGCGACCGGCGCACGGGUGCGUAACGCGUAUGUAACCUACCUAUAACAGGGGCAUAACACUGAGAAAUUGGUACUAAUUCCCCAUAAUAUUCGGAGAGGCAUCUCUCCGGGUUGAAAACUCCGGUGGUUAUAGAUGGACAUGCGUUGUAUUAGCUAGUUGGUGAGGUAACGGCUCACCAAGGCAACGAUACAUAGGGGGACUGAGAGGUUAACCCCCCACACUGGUACUGAGACACGGACCAGACUCCUACGGGAGGCAGCAGUGAGGAAUAUUGGUCAAUGGACGCAAGUCUGAACCAGCCAUGCCGCGUGCAGGAAGACGGCUCUAUGAGUUGUAAACUGCUUUUGUACGAGGGUAAACUCACCUACGUGUAGGUGACUGAAAGUAUCGUACGAAUAAGGAUCGGCUAACUCCGUGCCAGCAGCCGCGGUAAUACGGAGGAUCCGAGCGUUAUCCGGAUUUAUUGGGUUUAAAGGGAGCGUAGGCGGGUGCUUAAGUCAGUUGUGAAAGUUUGCGGCUCAACCGUAAAAUUGCAGUUGAUACUGGGCGCCUUGAGUGCAGCAUAGGUAGGCGGAAUUCGUGGUGUAGCGGUGAAAUGCUUAGAUAUCACGAAGAACUCCGAUUGCGAAGGCAGCUUACUAGACUGUAACUGACGCUGAUGCUCGAAAGUGUGGGUAUCAAACAGGAUUAGAUACCCUGGUAGUCCACACAGUAAACGAUGAAUACUCGCUGUUGGCGAUACACAGUCAGCGGCCAAGCGAAAGCAUUAAGUAUUCCACCUGGGGAGUACGCCGGCAACGGUGAAACUCAAAGGAAUUGACGGGGGCCCGCACAAGCGGAGGAACAUGUGGUUUAAUUCGAUGAUACGCGAGGAACCUUACCCGGGCUUAAAUUGCAGCGGAAUGUAGUGGAAACAUUACAGCCUUCGGGCCGCUGUGAAGGUGCUGCAUGGUUGUCGUCAGCUCGUGCCGUGAGGUGUCGGCUUAAGUGCCAUAACGAGCGCAACCCUUAUCUAUAGUUACUAUCAGGUCAUGCUGAGGACUCUAUGGAGACUGCCGUCGUAAGAUGUGAGGAAGGUGGGGAUGACGUCAAAUCAGCACGGCCCUUACGUCCGGGGCUACACACGUGUUACAAUGGGGGGUACAGAAGGCAGCUACCUGGCGACAGGAUGCUAAUCCCAAAAACCUCUCUCAGUUCGGAUUGGAGUCUGCAACCCGACUCCAUGAAGCUGGAUUCGCUAGUAAUCGCGCAUCAGCCACGGCGCGGUGAAUACGUUCCCGGGCCUUGUACACACCGCCCGUCAAG